GCUUUUUGUUAUUGGCUUGUAAUGAGACAGGUAUAGAAACUAAAUUAUAUUUGUGUUACUUACCAGUGGUAAGCAACUAUUAUAAAAUUUGGUAUUACUGAAACAUACAAGCACAUAAUCAGACACAUUUUUGGAGCAGAAUAUAGAAUAGCUCAGAUGAUUUGAGAAGCACUGAUGGAGAAGUCGAGUUCCUUAUUCAGAUAUUAAGCCAAUCUUACUCUUUCCAAUGUCAUCUUGGUGACCCAAUUGUGACAAGAAUGUCCAGAUACAGUUUGGUGUUGUGAACUGGUUGGCUUCCCCGUUUUGCAGAUAGAACUACAAAAAUAGAAUACACACUCAAUGGGCUGACCAACUGAUUCAUAACAUCUUUAUUGGAGAAUGAACUUUCUUUUUCUCUCCAGGCCCCCUGUAACCCCUGUCUGGUAUUUUCUACAUGACUGAUUCCUCUCUAGAGCCAGAACUAUGGAAUCUUAAGAGAAUCUGUAUUUCUUUAAAAAGAAUAAAUAUCUUAUGACACUCUU
rnacentral:lncRNA from 1 species